rnacentral:ncRNA from 1 species
CAAAGGCCUGGUCCUGGCUUUACCAUCAACCCUAACCGAGCUUACACAUGCAAGUCUCCGCACCCCUGUGAGGAUGCCCUCGAUCCUCUAAUGAGGACGAGGAGCGGGCAUCAGGCACGCAACAGCAGCCCAAGACGCCUUGUUCAGCCACACCCCCAAGGGAACUCAGCAGUGAUAGACAUUAAGCCAUAAGCGAAAGCUUGACUUAGCUAACGUCAAGAGGGCCGGUAAAUCUCGUGCCAGCCACCGCGGUUAUACGAGAGGCCCGAGUUGAUGGUCACCGGCGUAAAGAGUGAUUAUAGCAUGUUAAAAUAACUAAAGCCAAAGCCCUUCCCGGCUGUCAUACGCACCCGAAGGCAUGAGGCCCCUACACGAAAGUAGCUUUAACCACAAGACCCCUAGAACUCACGACAGCCAAGACACAAACUGGGAUUAGAUACCCCACUAUGCUUGGCCGUAAACCUUGAUGAUAAAACACAAAUAUCAUCCGCCAGGGGACUACAAGCGUCAGCUUAAAACCCAAAGGACUUGGCGGUGCCCCACACCCACCUAGAGGAGCCUGUUCUAGAACCGAUAACCCCCGUUAAACCUCACCACCCCUUGUCAACCCCGCCUAUAUACCACCGUCGCCAGCUUACCCUGUGAAGGACCAAUAGUAAGCCUAAUGAGCACAGCUCAAAACGUCAGGUCGAGGUGUAGCGAAUGGGGUGGGAAGAAAUGGGCUACAUUUUCUGAAACCAGAAUACUACGGAUGACAUAGUGAAACCAAUGCCUGAAGGUGGAUUUAGCAGUAAAAAGGGAACAGAGAGCCCUUUUGAAAUAGGCCCUGGGGCGCGCACACACCGCCCGUCACUCUCCUCAAAACACACACCAACAAAGGUACAUAAACAACUAGAAAAAACAAGAGGAGGCAAGUCGUAACAUGGUAAGUGUACCGGAAGGUGCACUUGGAAUAACC